AGCUGGAGCCGCCUUUGCUGUGCCUCUGUUUACUUUUUAAAACGAGAAAUUUCAACCCAGAGAAAAGCCGCAAGCAGGUGCCAUUUCCCUCAGUUUUGGCGGUCAUUUCUCUCCUGCCCCAUCCGCUCUCUCGUCACUGCUCAGCCCCCCGGGACCGUCCGAGAGUAAGUUGGACGCCUCAGUACCUCAGGGAGCGUUUUCUAAAAACAAGGACGUUUUCUUGCGCGACCACAUUACCGUCAUGAAAAUGAAGAAAUCUAGCGUCCACCUUAACACUGUUGUCUGGGCCGCUGCUGUCCCCUAGGAACGCGAGUCCUGUCUGCAAUUUUAGAUUUUCUAGUGGCUGCGUUAAAAAAAAGUAACAAGACGGACACGAAGUUAAUUUUAACGAUAGGUUUUAUUUGACCCAACUGUACCCAAAACGUUACCACAUUGGCCUGUAAGCAACGUCAAAUGUUACUGAGAUGUGUUACUGUUU